AUUGAACGCUGGCGGCAGGCCUAACACAUGCAAGUCGAACGAGUGGCGGACGGGUGAGUAAUGUCUGGGAAACUGCCUGAUGGAGGGGGAUAACUACUGGAAACGGUAGCUAAUACCGCAUACCAUCAGAUGUGCCCAGAUGGGAUUAGCUAGUUGGUGGGGUAACGGCUCACCAAGGCGAUGAUCCCUGGCUGGUCGGAGAGGAUGACCGGCCAAACUGGAACUGAGACACGGUCCAGACUCCUACGGGAGGCAGAGGGGGGGAAUAUUGCACAAUGGGCGCAAGCCGGAGGCAGCCAGGCCGCGUGUAUGAAGAAGGCCUUCGGGUUGUAAAGUACUUUCAGCGGGGAGACGUUACCCGCAGAAGAAGCACCGGCUAACUCCGUGCCAGCAGCCGCGGUAAUUC
rnacentral:rRNA from 1 species